CUAUUAGCAAGCCAUUAUAAGCUAACAGCAAGUAAAUUAAAUAGAUGUGAAGAGCCACAUUCUCAUUUGUUUGGUACUAGACAGAGCUCUGCAGGGAAAAGGUGUGCAAAGCUUGAAGAAGCCCUGAUCCUAGGUAACUGUCCCAAAUU
rnacentral:lncRNA from 1 species